GCCCUCCCCGGGGCUGGUACCUUUUCUGGACCAUACAUGUCGUCGCCGUAUUCGUUGAGCAGGCUGUAGGCCUCCUCCACGCACUUGCGCUCGUUCAUGUUACAGGUGAUGAGAAUGCCCUGUAGCCCGGGCUCCAGCUGCCGGGGCCCGCCGCCAUCGCAGCGCCGAGCCCGUUUGGCCUGCACGUACUGAGCUUUGCCUUUGCGCUUCCCGCCGCCAGGCUGAGGAGACUGCUGGACGGGGGACGCCAUGGUACGUGAGCGCUGAGGCAAGCGAGAAACGUGCUUCUCCACGGCCCUCGCGCCCUCACCUCUGCUGACGCGGGCUGAUUACGUCAGGCUGCAGGACUGUAGUUCUUCUUGCUUCUGCUGUCUGCCCUCUGGUGGAUGAGGCUGUCUAAGAGGCCUGUGCAGGCUUCCUGAUGGGAGGGACUCCACUGGGAUAAGAAGACUCUGAAAGGUAUAGACUGGCUAUAGACUUGGGAACUCAAGGAAUAACACAGUCGCCAGUUCCCUGGGUUUUCUUUUUUGCCUCAUAUACCUUAGACUUGUAGUUGAAAAAGCCAGCAACCUGGAAACACCAAUGUGUACAGACAAUAAA